GGGUGGGUGGCGCAAUGGCAGCGCGUUGGUUUUCGGUUUACGAUUACACAAAUAAUUGUUCAUAACAAUUACACCAAAGGUUGUGGGUUCGAGCCCCAUCUCACUCA